UCAGUCCUCCGCUUCCCGUUCUUUGCGGCGAGUCAGGUCCCGGACUGAAAACACCGCUUUCCUCUUCUAACCGACCGCCACAUUUUUAAAAACGGACAGUUUCGUGUCUGUGAAACUGCACUCGGGCUCGUGCUCAGUACAGUUCCGCUGCUUCUCGCGCUUCGUACAACUCUUUGCAUGUCAGCCUGUGUACAGACUCACAGCGCCCAGCGGCUCCCCGGCAGGCCUCUCCGUUCACCGUGCGAGCAUCAGUCCUCACGCCGCGGUUGGGUGGCUCCGGCUCGGGCCGCGGAGGAAGCAUGUACCCGGUGCAUCGCUAGCCUCUGCUCUCAUGAUUCUAAGCGACCACACCGGCUGAUGAACGGUUAGGCUUGGAUGUCACGGGUACCGGAGUUUGGCUGUCAGAAUGAACGGCACUCAGCAGAGUGAUACCAAGAGACAGCACCUCCUGGAGAGGCUGCUGGAUGCUGUCAAACAGUGCCAAAUCCGCUUUGGAGGAAGAAAGGAGAUCGCCACAGACUCAGACAGCAGGGUGAUCUGCCUAUGUGCCCAGUUUGAAGCGGUGCUGCAGCAUGGCCUGAGGAAGAGCCGAGGUCUGGCUCUCACCGCCGCCGCUCUCAAGCAGGCGGCGGGCUUCAACACCAAGACCGAAGCAGAGUUGACGUUCUGGUUCUACGUGAAGGAGCAUCUGAACCGCCACGAGCUCCAGCGGUUCUACUCCCUGCGCCACAUCUCCUCAGAGCUGGGCCGCGGUCGUGCCUGGCUGCGCUGCGCCCUCAACGAGCACUCGCUGGAGCGAUACCUGCACACGCUGCUGGCCGACCGCCUUCGCCUGGGAACUUACUAUGAAGACUGGGCUUUCAUUCUCGAUGAAGAGAGAGCCAGUAUGCUCCCCACCAUGGCGGCAGGUCUGAACUCCAUCCUGUUUGCCAUCAACAUCGACAACACUGACCUGAACGGCGGGGUGACGCGAGGAGGGGGCUCCUCGGUGUCCCACCUCCUCAAGGAGUCCACGCAGGGCAUCGGCAGCCUGUGGAAAGAGUCCACUCAGGGGGUCAGCAGCCUGCUGCGAGAGAUCAGCACUGCCACGGCUGUGGUGCCCGGCUUCACCCCCAGAGUGGACGGGGCCUCGGACCCGCUGCCCGUCCUCCCCCGCAGCAGCUCGGCUGACUCCGGGCUGAGGAAAGAGCGCAGGAGGAAAAAGAAAAUCACCAACAUCAUUUCCUUUGAUGACGAUCUGGACGGAGGUGCGGAGGAUGAGGAGGAGGGCGAGGAGGACUCCCAGAAGAUGGGCGCGAUGAGGAAGAGCCACACUGCUCCUGCUCAGAGCAGUGUGGAGGAAGGAAUAGACCCUUUGGAGCCGGUCUUCUCCGAACCCCCCGCCCAGAACGGCACGGCUGAGCCGGGCAUAAUCAGCUGGGUGGGGUCCCCCCAUCCCUCUCGUACUCCACCCACUACUACUACUCCUCCUCCGCCUGACAGUAUGAGUAUAGACAACGAGGAGGAGGAGGAAGAGGAGGAGAUGUACAAACCCAGAGCACAAACCCAGGAGGAGGAGAGGAGAAGCAGCUCUGAUCAGGUGGUGGUCGGCAGCCUGUCCAGUGUGUCCACCUGGAGCCUCCUACAGGUGAUGACCGAACACAGGAGCGCGGACAUCCUCAUUCCUCUGAACCCCGCAGACUCUCAGCCAGUGAGCUCUGUGGAGGACACGGCUGCAUUUCCUGCUCAGCGUGAGUCAACAGGACCGGUGGGGAACUGUGAGAGCAGCAGAUUGCCGCUAACAUUCAAUAUGGAGUCCAGUCCACCGACGCAGUCUGCUCCACUCUCCGGUGUGCUGCCAACAUCUGAUCUGUCAGAGUCCAUGACAGUGGUGGAGCUGCGUCAGGCCAUUGUGGCCAUGAUGAACAGGAAGGACGAGCUGGAGGAACAAAACACGUCUCUUCGCAGUCUGCUGGAUGGGGAGAUGGAGCACUCGGCAGGCCUGAGGCAGGAAACCGAUUUACUGAAGAGGAAGCUGGCAGAGCUGGAGGAGAGACACACAGCCAAGGUCCAGGCUCUGGCCAGGGAGAAUGAGGUCCUGAAGGUCCAGUUGAAGAAGUAUGUGGGGGCGGUGCAGAUGCUGAAGAGAGAGGGAAGCCAGGGCAAUGAUGACAAGGAGCCUCCGCUUUAACACGAUUCACUGGUAAGAACCACCAGACGCUGACGUAAAUGUCAAGAACAUGAUUUAAAUGUCUUUUUUGACAGUCUGUUGUUCAUAGUUGUGAGAUUAAACUCCGGUCACGUGUCAGUGUGUUAGUCAGGGGAUCAAGACUAACAGUCCUCAGGCGUGCUGUCCUCAGGCUGCAUCGUGGUGCUGUGGGCUAAAUGCUAACAUCAGCACGCUAACGUGCUCGUAAUGAGAACACUAACAGGCCGAUGUUUAGCAGCUGUAAUGUUUACCAUGUUCACCAUCUUAGUUUAGCUUGUUAGCAUGCUAGCAUUAGCUAAUUAGGGCUAAGCACAAAGUACAGUUGCGGCUGAUGGGAGUUUCAUCGGCUUUGCAGGAGUGUGGUCAUAUGUUGACCUGAUAAUGGUGAAAGCAGGACUCCAGAAUAACCUUUGCACUGGAAGCACCGGAGCCUCUUUUUUUGUUUGGUAAAGCAUGGUAUUAAUCCCUGCCUGCCACCCUUUAACCAUCGAUGUCAAUUGAGCGCUCGUUGUCUCUCCCUCCCCAACAUUGUCAUCCUCCUUUCUCUCUCAUCAUUUUUGCUCUUGUUCCUGCCAUUACGGCAAUUACGUAAUGGCAGUAUAAUCAGUAGGCCGCUUCUUUUCCGGAUCAUGGUACCAGUUAAAUGGUUUUAAAAAGUUCUACACUGCUACAUACGCGCUGUGCUCCCCGACACACUCUUGCGUAAUUAUUCUCAAACCCAUAAAAAUCAGGCGCGUGAUGCGAGUGUACUGAGCGGUAUCCGUGAGUGGAAAGCUCACAGGUUUCCGAAGAGCCGUUGUGAGGCUCAAAGUGGGUGCCUCCGGCCGGCGACAUCUUGGCGGGGACGACGCACCCUAACUCCAAAAAUUGGCAAAGAGGGUGGCUCAGCGGUGGAGCUGAGUUUGAAAACUGCUUGCGGCCAGCGACCUCAUGCAUAAUCUUAAGCCUUAAUAGAAUUUAAACGGGUGAGUUACACAGACGUUAGACCGACGUCAUCUUCCUUGGAGCCACGAAGGGAAAGGGACGUAAUUGUACGGUGACAUAAAUCAUGAUUAGAACUGAUCGGCGUAAUGGCAGGAACAAGGAAAAAUAAUGCAAGUUUUGAAAAGUAAUACCUUAAUCAUCCUCCUGGUCUUAUCCAGGGUAAUCUUCAGUGAGUGCAGACUGAUGAGUUUCUGUUCUUUGAUCAGUGAGAGAACAAGCAGACAAACCCACAGUGACGUGACGGACUGCUGCAACCAGAGCUGUAGCAUGUAGAGCAGAGUAAGUGCAAAGAAAAUAGGCGAGAAUAAGAGCCAUAUCCCAAUUUAUUCUGCUCACCAGCAUCCCCUGUAAUUGUUAUAAUAAUAAUAAUAAUAAUAAUACAUUUAGUUUGCGAGUGCCUUUCAAGGAAACCAGGGAUCCUGCACAACACAAAAGAAUAAUUCUUCUCGUCUAGUCUCGGAUUGAGUCUCCAAACAUGUGGGAGUAAUCUGUUUUGAGUGAUAUAUCUCGGCUUGAUUAUGAGUUUCCUUUUUGGAGCACUGCUGGGAUUUGGAUAUUAAUAUGUACAGUCUUACACAGAUGACUAUCCCCGUUCGUUCGGAGCCUUUUUCUUUUCAAACCCCAUGGAGCCUUUGAGAAGCCGCCUGGAACUCUCUCCUGAAUAAGUGCCACCAGCAAAUCUCUAUCUCUUUAUCGCGGCCUCAUAGCGCAUUUCACCCCUCCUCUCUUCAUUCAUGUGUGUGUGCAUGUGUGUCCUUUUGACUAAUGUCUGAGUGUUUAGCUUGUUAAUGUGCUGUGUGAUAACAGCCCAGCUCCAUAAACAACUUAAUCCUGCAUCUUAUGGGCCAGGGAGCACCGCUCUCUGCUCCUUCAAAGACCACCAAGCUUAAGAGGUGAGUGGGGGGUAGGUGUGUGUGUGUGUGUGUGUGUGUGUGUGUGUGUGUGUGUGUGUGUGUGUGUGUGUGUGUGUGUGUGUGUGUGUGUGUGUGUGUUCGUUCGUUCGUUCUGGGUAUGUUUUUAUACAUACACGGCUCUUAUUACUGUGUGUGGAUGAAAUAUUCAAUUAAAACAUGAACAUAGUUAAAAUCCUGUACAUUUAAUCUAUUGAAUAGUUCACUCAGAAGAGGAUCUGAUGCAUAUUUCUUGGCGUUCUUGAGAUUCCUUAUCAAGAGAUUUGUUCUCUCGCUUUACUCGUCAUAACCUUUCAAUGCCGCCUCAGUCAACUCAGGAGAGCUGUAUACAGGUGUGGAAUAGCUACGCUGUGUUCUUUGUGCACAGGUGUGUGUGUGUGUGUGUCUGUGUGUGUGUGUGUGUGUGUGUGUGUGUGUGAGAGAGAGAGAGAUCGCGCUGUUCUCCACUCAGAUGAUGAGCCGGAGCAGAAGCUCCCUGAUUGGAGCCAUCAGAGCGAGGAGAAUAGUGAUUCCACAUGUGUUGCCUCACGUGCUUUUGAAUGAAAACCUGUUUGUCCCAAGUAACAGCAGUGAGUUGGCCUGAUCUGCCUCAUCCCCCCCCCUUCUCAAUACACGUACACAAAGGCCUCUGUUAGCCGAAGGAGGGCAACAUGAUAAAUGAGCUAUGAACGAUUAGAAAAUGAAAGAAGAUUGUUUUUGAUUAGCACUUGUUAAUUAACUCAGUCAGCCGCCUGCCUGCUCCCUAGCCAGUGCAUCAACAAUGUAUGGCCUCACUGCGUGAUUAACUCAAGUGUGUGUGUGUGUGUGUGCGUGUGUGUGUGUGUGUGUGGCGUGAAUGCAUGCUAUUGUUAGUGUAGCAAGGCACAAAGACAUUUCGUCUCCUUCCCCUGGUUUUCGAUCUUGUAGUUGUAUAAUGAGAAACCUUGAACCUCAACUUGCUGUGACGUCUUCCUGCAUAUGUCCAGGUGUGUGUGUGUGCGUGCGUGCGUGCGUGCGUAAAAACUCUUUUUAUGCAUGUUUCCAUUGAUAUGUAUGGCGUUUAGUGGCUGGCCUUAACAACAUGCGUGAUUGGUGGCUUGGACCGCCGUAGCACAACAGCGCAGCACUGCGCCGACUUGAAUUGAACGGCAAUGAAAGAUUGAUAAGAUGGGGGGGUAGAAAUAAAUGGAGAAAUGUGAGGAAGACAAUGAGGAGGAUGAUGAAGGGGUAAGGAGGGAGGAAGAUUUCAAAGGUAAAGCGAGUGUGGAGAAAAACAGGAUGAAUGAAGGUUGCAUAAAUGAGCAGAGGGUUUGCGGGAGUUUGAAAGAAAGAUGCAACAAAGAAAAAAAAAAAAAGAACCAAAUCAAUACUUCAUAGAGGAGAGGAAUCAACAAAUACAAGGAUAUGUUUUAUGAGCGAAAGGAGAUGAAAGACAGUUAAGGGGCACAAAAACAAAAAAGAACAAAGGCACGGGAAGCAGGAGCUGGGAGGGAUGGAGUGAAAUCAGAAGAAGAAAAGAUACGGAAGACGAGAUUCCGAAGAGCCCCAAUUUCACAGUGGUGUGAGUGCCGCAAGGUGUGUGCUGUUUGCGAGGAGCGCUCCGCUUGAUUGCGCAUUAGUCCUAUUGUGGCGGGAGCCCUGCGCAUCUUUUAUUCAGCAGGCUUGCUGCGGCCCGCCGAGCGCCUCGGCCAGACGUCUGUUUGUUCUCUGGCCCUGCCGUGUGCUCGGGGUCGCGGAUUGCAGAGCCACGUCUCCUUUACUGCUAAUGGGCGGAGCAGCAGUCAGUCGGGUGUGUCGGCCCCCCGCUCUCUGUUAUCAUCACCCGUCAAAAGCUUCCACUUCGGAGAGGACGCUCGAGGCUUUUUCUUGAUUUCACAGGUUACAAGUUGCUUCUAAUGUGGGGAUUUCUGUGUCUCUGCCUCUCUUGUGUUUGUUCGUUUAAGAGGAACGCAGUGUGGGCUGUAUAUGAACCCGCUGCUAUAUACGGUAAAUAGCAAACGGACUUUGUUUAUGUACGGCCUUUCUAGUGUUCCUGUCCAAUCAAAGCGCGGGAUCGAACCACCGAUCAUCCGAUCAUCAUGUUUUUCAUCUGUGAUGAAACUGACUUGAAUCUGUCUCUCCUACCCCGAGAUCACAAGAGAGAGGAAAUGUCUCCGCCUUCGCCAUCACAGUUCUGUGGCGAAUCUUUCUCUCAACCUCCUGACCGGCAGGCAGGAGUUAGUUUGCAACAACUUUCCCCUCAACACGUCAGAUAUAUGAGGAAGACUUUGCUUCAGACCGCAGUUUAAUCUGCAGGCUGUGAUGACCAUCUGCGGUUCAGAAUCAGAAUCACUUUAAUCUGCGAGUGAAGACAACAGAAAUGUGGAGGAUGCAUGGAAAAAUUCUAAAAUUCAAACGAUCGGACGCCAUUGUUGAUGACCGUGACCUCUCUCUGAAACAGUAACGAUUUGUUGUCCUCCUCAAACAAACUUGGGAAGGCACAACACAAGUGUUGGUAUUUUCAGUAUUGAUGACC